AUCGAGGCUAGAGUCACGCGUGGGUACUGGUUAUUGCCUUGGUGUGCUAGAGUCCUAGAAGAGUAAUUGCUGACCUUAGUCACUGGCUGUACCUCUCGUGGCACAGUCAGUCGCAGGUUAGCGACAUGU